rnacentral:misc_RNA from 1 species
AACACUGUUAACCUGCGGUACCUGCGGAAGGAUCAUUACAGAGUUGCAAAACUCCCUAAACCAUUGUGAACGUUACCUAAACCGUUGCUUCGGCGGGCGGCCCGGGUCCUUCCCGGCGCCCCUCGGCCCUCGCGGGCGCCCGCCGGAGGUAAACCAAACUAUUGCAUUGUAUGGCCUCUCUGAGUCUUCUGUACUGAAUAAGUCAAAACUUUUAACAACGGAUCUCAGAUCGGAAGAGCA